ACUCAAAUGAAUAGACGGGGGCCCGCACAAGCAGUGGAGUAUGUGGUUUAAUUCGAUGCAACGCGAAGAACCUUACCGGGAUUUGACAUCCUGCUAACGAAGUAGAGAUACAUCAGGUGCCCUUCGGGGAAAGCAGAGACAGGUGGUGCAUGGUUGUCGUCAGCUCGUGUCGUGAGAUGUUGGGUUAAGUCCCGCAACGAGCGCAACCCUUAUGAUUAGUUGCUACGCAAGAGCACUCUAAUCAGACUGCCGUUGAUAAAACGGAGGAAGGUGGGGAUGAUGUCAAAUCAUCAUGCCCUUUAUGUCCCGGGCUACACACGUACUACAAUGGCGAUAAACAAAGGGGCGCGAAACCGCGAGGUGGAGCAAAUCCCAAAAAAUCGCCCCAGUUCAGAUUGCAGGCUGCAACUCGCCUGCAUGAAGUCGGAAUUGCUAGUAAUCGUAGAUCAGCAUGCUACGGUGAAUACGUUCCCGGGCCUUGUACACACCGCCCGU
rnacentral:rRNA from 1 species